GGGCCUGUGGCGAAACCGGCAGACGCGGCGGACUUAAAAUCCGCUUCCCGAAAGGGAGUGUGGGUUCGAAUCCCACCGGGCCCA
rnacentral:tRNA from 1 species